AAUGCUUAGGAAUCUGCCUAUUAGUGGGGGACAACAUUUCGAAAGGGAUGCUAAUACCGCAUACUCCCUAAGGGGGAAAGCAGGGGAUCUUCGGACCUUGCGCUAAUAGAUGAGCCUAAGUCGGAUUAGCUAGUUGGUGGGGUAAAGGCCUACCAAGGCGACGAUCUGUAGCGGGUCUGAGAGGAUGAUCCGCCACACUGGGACUGAGACACGGCCCAGACUCCUACGGGAGGCAGCAGUGGGGAAUAUUGGACCAUGGGGGGAACCCGGAUCCAGCCAUGCCCUGUGUGUGAAGAAGGCCUUUUGGUUGUAAAGCACUUUAAGCGAGGAGGAGGCUACUGAGAUUAACACUCUUGGAUAGUGGACGUUACUCGCA
rnacentral:rRNA from 1 species